CAGUUUUCAGCAAACACAGUUUAUUUUCCACUCAAGCACCUUUUAAGUAAUAAUCCUAUUAUCUGCCCUGGUUUCUCAGCCCUAUGAGGAUGAGGUCUAUGAACAGACCCAGUCUAAUCAUGGCUUCUCUCCCAAGUGAUGUUGUCUCCUUUUAUACCUAAGAAGAUUCACAUCAAUAACAUCCAAUUAGAACUUUGCCUGUGCCACUCAGAGCCCUGAGAGGACUCAGAGGGUCCCAGUCAACGAAGAAUUGCCAGACAUUUGAGGAAAGUCUCUAACAUGGAAGAUGAAACUGCCUGAAAACAGCUCCGCCAGAACAAAUGCACAAGCCACCAGGAAGAGAACCCGCAUCCAUCACAGACAACCUCUCUUCCCAGGCCACCUUCUACUCUCCCCACCACUCUGUCCAGGCACAACCUCACAGUGCCAAGUGCAGGCAUCUGUGAAACCCCACACGUAAAUGCUCAUCACAGAAGUGCAAGGGAUGUACAGCCCCUCGAGGCCAGCCUUGGCCAUCAGGGAACAGGAGCAGGUGGAUACAAGCUCCUCACAUGGUCUCUCAGGCAUGGAAUUCAGGGGACCCUUCUACUAAGCUCCUUGGAAAGACCCAUCAGGAUGGAGCCCCAGCUGCCCACAGCCGUGACCAACUCAAUAGCCCACCCUUGGGUUACAUUUCCCUUCUCCUGUCUCCUGGGAUCACCUUCUAGAAUCAACUACGAGCAUGCAGGCCUGGGUCUCAGGCUCUGCUUUCUAGGGGAAACCCAGACUAAGAUACCAUAUUAGUCUGUUAUCACGCUGCUAAUAAAGACGUACCUGAGACUGAGUAAUGUAUAAAGAAAAGAGGUUUAAUGAACUCACAGUUCCACAUGGCCGGGGAGGCCUCACAAUCAUGGCAGAAGGCAAAGGAGAAGCAAAGGCAUGUCUUACAUGGCGGCAGGCAAGAGAGCUUGUGCAAGGGAACUCCCAUUUAUAAAACCAUCAGAUCUCAUGAGACUUAUUUACUACCACGAGAACAGUAUGCUGGAAACAGCCCCCAUGAUUCAAUUAUCUCCACCUGUCACCACCCUUGACACAUGAGGAUUAUUUACAAUUCAAGGUGAGACUUGGAUGGGGACACAGCCAAACCAUAUCAGAUACCAACCCAGGA
rnacentral:lncRNA from 1 species